rnacentral:tRNA from 1 species
GGGAAGGUGGCUCAGUAGUAGAGUGCUUGCCUUGCAUGCAUGAGGACGUAGGUUCAAUUCCUCAGUACCA